UAUUUACCAGCCUACCAGUGGCCAAGAAUUGAAGCCAUGUUCUUGGCUGACCAGGGGUCUAAGGUUCAGUUUCAUGGGCACUGACCUGUGGUCCCACUGGUGAAGCAGAUGACGCUCACUCAGCAUCAUAUAGGGAUAAGAUCUCAAUUCCACUCUUCUCCCCUCUUUGCUUCAGGUCAUCAUCAAAGGGGUCCAUAAGGAUGAUCACCUUCAGGCUCGGGGUGAAGCCUUUCUCUACAUUCCCUAUCAGCACCGAUGCCUUUUGGGGUGUGUCACAGAUCACCAUGGCGAUAUCAGCUGAAAGCCAAAAUAGAACCAGAGGUCAUUCCCUCUCUCUGCUAAGUACCUGAUUGCCUUGCAAGAAGGAAGAGGUUUUAAAAGUUUUCAAAGCUAACAGGUGUCCAAAGGAGAUUACACCUGCAAAUCAGAUUUAUAAUGUACAACCUGAAACAUUCCAUUGAUGAUAAAUGAACUUAACUGAAACAGAAGCACAUGUUCUUGAACUGUGCCAGCAGAUUUUACAGUUUCUAGAGGAACCACAGAAUUCCUUCUGCUUAAGAAGUCAUUCAGAUAACCUAAACAGGUUACUGAAGACUCACCAUGGACAUUGGUACAUGCUGGUUAACUGUAUUGACUUGGAUUUACAAACAGCAUGACAUCAUUGUGUGGAUACACAUUAGCAAGCUUGAAGACUACAGGAAAUAAAACUGGAAA
rnacentral:lncRNA from 1 species